UAAAAGAGAAAAAAUCUUUAUUGUUAUUAUUUUGAAUCUAGACUGUAUUCAACUCUUCUUUUUGUAGCUUUUUUUUUUUAAUACAAUAAUAUUACAUUUCGAGAAAUGACGGAUUGAAUCAAACAUCAAUCAUUUUUAUGGAACCAACAUAAACUAUAACGUUAAAUUCUUCUUCUUUUUACUACAUACAGUUCCACAUUUAAUCUUUUGUUACCUCUUAAAUUCCUUUCUACUAUUAUUAUUAUUAUUAAAAAAAUUUGUUUACAUCUUCAUAGCAUGAAGCUUUUUUGUUACAUCGAGUAAUUUUUAUACGCAUUUUUGACAAUUUCCUUUACUUUGUUGUUUAGUAAAACAUUUUGAAGUGAUUUUUACUCUUUCAUAUGACAAUGAACUUUUUGAAAUCACCGUUUCGUCGUUUUUCUCAAAACAAUUUACUACGCCUAAGCACAAUUUUUAACAAUGUUGCACCCUUACGGUGUAUCUCUUCUGCACCACAGCGUUUUAACCCUUAUGGUUCGUUUUAUCCAACACAACAACCCCGUGCAUUAGUUGAUGUGACUACCUCAUCGCUUCAUAUUUUUUUUUUAGGUAAUUGAAGACUUUACUCACUAUGAAUCCUUAGUCUAUUCUAUGAAAUAUCUGUGUAUUUUCUUCUUUAUUUCAACUUAUUGUAACUGGAGUAAAGUUUUGCAACCUUGCUUUCAAAAACGAGUUCGUGAAUACCAACAACAAAAACAUCAAACUGUGUUAAAUUCCAAUGGAAGCCAAAUCCCUCAUUUAUUUGCUGAAAUAAAUGUCGAUUCUUGUCCUAGAGCAGCUUAUCACUGUGAUAUUGAUGAUGUUCCGUCCAUUGUUAUUAUGUACGGUGAUGAUGCUUUCCGUAAAAAAGUUGUUCCAGAAAAUCGUUAUGACGCGUCUAAUUUAUUAGACCAAGCUUUUGAGAUUCUACGGGAAUUUGAUAGAACCCCUAUACAGGAAAUCCAGUCUCUUUCUUCUCCCUUAGCAUGGUUUGAUCAUCAUAUUCGCAGAGAUAACCUGAAUUUGAAUCGUGUUGUCUGGCCGUUACACCAGUAAAUAUUUUAAACUAACUGGUAAUCCAUUUUUUCUUUUAAACAUAUUUCAUUCAAAAUUUUAGUAAUAAAAAACGUUUCUAUAACGGUUGGUGUAAUUUUUUUAUUAAAAACAACAAAAAACGACGCGAUAUCGUUCAUUGAACAGAAUGUUCUAGUGCUUUGUUAUCUGUGGUAUUACUUUCUAGCAUCGCGCCGGAUUUAUUGAUGCGCUUUUUUAUACUUCUUUUUUUCAUUAGUUCAUUGCUACUGUCAACAUAGCUUAACAUGCAGCCCUUUUCACACUCCAAGUACUAGUUUUUUUUCUUUGAUGCCAAUGAAAAUCCAUAGCUUGGGACUAGCUUUAAAGUUAAGUGAAACGGGAUUCUUCUGAUGCAUCGUUUGAGCAACUACGAAACUUUCAGUUUUAUAGCGUCUUCCCUUCAACAAUAUGGCAUAACGCCCAAGGAUGCGCUAUGAAAACCUGACUCGUGCUAUAACAGUUUACAUUUUAAUUCAUCGUACUGGCGCAUUGCUUAGGCAACGACAAAAAGCUCCGUUUCAAACAAUAUUCCCUCUUGGAUACGCUGUAAAGUUUACUGAUGAGCUCUCAAAAGAUCCCUUGUGUUGUAAUGGUUUAGUGUAAUUCUAGUUAGGUAUGAAUAAAGAUGUUUUCUUUUUAACAGACAUGAUAUCAAAUGCUUUUUUCGUAAAAUUCAAGAGUUAAUUUUUCGAAUAACAUUUUCAUUUUUUACUACUUAAGGUCUAUA